rnacentral:rRNA from 1 species
UCGACGAGAAGGGAGCAAUCCUGAGUAAAGUGGCGCACUGGUGAGUAACACGUGGGUAAUUUACCUUCUUGUGGGGAAUAACCCUGGGAAACUAGGGCUAAUACCGCAUACGUCCGAGAGGAGAAAGCCGCAAGGCGCAGGAAGAGAAGCCCGCGGCCGAUUAGCUAGUUGGUGAGGUAAUGGCUCACCAAGGCGACGAUCGGUAGCCGGCCUGAGAGGGCACACGGCCACACUGGCACUGAAACACGGGCCAGACUCCUACGGGAGGCAGCAGUGGGGAAUCUUGCACAAUGGGGGAAACCCUGAUGCAGCGACGCCGCGUGAACGAUGAAGCCCUUCGGGGUGUAAAGUUCUUUCGACGGGGACGAUAAUGACGGUACCCGGAGAAGAAGCUGCGGCUAACUACGUGCCAGCAGCCGCGGUAAUACGUAGGCAGCAAGCGUUGUUCGGAAUUACUGGGCGUAAAGAGUGCGUAGGUGGUUGGCUAAGUUUGGUGUGAAAUCUCCCGGCUUAACUGGGAGGGUGCGCCGAANACUGGUUGACUAGAGUGU